rnacentral:rRNA from 1 species
UGGGGAAUAUUGGACAAUGGGCGCAAGCCUGAUCCAGCCAUACCGCGUGGGUGAAGAAGGCCUUCGGGUUGUAAAGCCCUUUUGUUGGGAAAGAAAUCCAGCCGGCUAAUACCUGGUUGGGAUGACGGUACCCAAAGAAUAAGCACCGGCUAACUUCGUGCCAGCAGCCGCGGUAAUACGAAGGGUGCAAGCGUUACUCGGAAUUACUGGGCGUAAAGCGUGCGUAGGUGGUCGUUUAAGUCCGUUGUGAAAGCCCUGGGCUCAACCUGGGAACUGCAGUGGAUACUGGGCGACUAGAGUGUGGUAGAGGGUAGCGGAAUUCCUGGUGUAGCAGUGAAAUGCGUAGAGAUCAGGAGGAACAUCCAUGGCGAAGGCAGCUACCUGGACCAACACUGACACUGAGGCACGAAAGCGUGGGGAGCAAACAGGAUUAGAUACCCUGGUAGUCCACGCCCUAAACGAUGCGAACUGGAUGUUGGGUGCAAUUUGGCACGCAGUAUCGAAGCUAACGCGUUAAGUUCGCCGCCUGGGGAGUACGGUCGCAAGACUG